CAGCUUUAUAAUUGAGAAAUAAUCAUGGUUGUGGUGUUUAAAAAAUUCACAGAUAAAUUUUUUAAGACAUUGCGUGAGAUUUCGACUGUGAAAUUUAAUAUUUUAUGACAAUAAUUAUUUUUAUUACAGAGAUGAAAAAUACCCCGCCCGUGCUAUUACUGCCUUUCUCUCCUUCUCCCUCCUCCUCAUGCUCUUUUGUGUUUUGUGUGUGUGUGUGUGUGUGUGUUUUUUUUUUUUAAAUCUAUCAUGUUGGAUCCUGGUGGUAAUGUAUUCAUUCAUGUAAAGGGAACACAAAAGUAUGAGGGGGACUAAACCAAAACCCCAUGUAUACAUGAGAGAUUGCAAUGCAAUCAGCUAGAAAAUGUUUACACAAAUUGCAAAUCAUUCCUCCUAGAAUACAUGUUAUACAUUUAGCUAACAAAAAAAUUGAUCUUGUCAUAUUUAAUCCUAAUGUUAGGGAUCUGCCUCUUAUCCAGCAAAAAGGACCCUUUAGCACCAAUAGGCAACUGGUCAAAAGUGUUAUAGAUUCUUUGCUCCCUCAAUGUUGUGGCUAAUUUAUCCAGAUAAUCAGCCACUCUAUUGGCUUCUCUAUAGCAAUGUGAGAAUAUAGCAUCAGCAUUGUUAUUCAAGUCUGCAAUAUCCUCUACAAUGCUCUUCAAGUUAAGAUUUUGAGAUGUCUUGUUCUUCAUCAUAUCUACAAUAAGACAAUCUAUUUCAAUGAUGUAGUGUUGGUACCCAUUGUUCUUGCACCAUUGCAUAGCAAAAAAGGAAGACAAAGCUUUAGCUACAUUAUGGUCUCUACAUUGAACUGGAGUAGCUAAAGCAAAUAACAGAUUUCCAGAAUUGUCCCUAGCUAUUCAACCAAUGCCUACUUUCCCAUUUUCUUUCAAAAAACUUCCAUCAGUGUUGAUUUUAGUCCAGUCAUUAUAAGGCAUAUUACAUGUCACAACCUUUGCAAUUGUUUUGUGCCUCACUCUUUCAACUGUCUCACACAAUUGUGCCCACUGUAGAUUCAUCUUGUGCAUAGGCAAGGCCUUGUCCAUAUAAGCUUUAAUAAGCCAUUGACACUGCUGCUCCAUCCUUCUUGUGUAAAAUCUUGUUUGCACUCCAUAUCUACAAGAGCAUCUUGUGAUCCAAAGAAUCCAGUAUGAUUUUGAGCAUCAUUUUAUGAAUAACAUUCUUCCCAGUUGCUUGCCACCAAUCUUGCUCACUGUCUAUGAAAAGAUCCUUGAUGGUUUCAGGUUGAGGGUCUGCACAGCAUAAGCUAUCUAUUGGGAUUCUGUUCCAAGACCUGCAAAUAACAUCAUUAAAAGGUAAUUUAAAUUUUAUUAGGUUCCACAUUAAAAAGGAAAGCUUAAAAGGAAUACUGUUGUGCCAAAUUUUCUUGAGCAAAGGGUCAGUCACUCUAGAAUCUCUAACGGAUUCCCAAGUUGUCACGUUGGUGAAAAAAACCAUCAGAAGAAGCAUUCCAGAACAGCACAUCAAGUCUAUUGUUGGAACCAAUAUUCAUGUUAAUAAUAUUGUCCACAAGCCAUUCUGGUAGAACAUUUUGCAGUUUCUGAAUAUCCUAUGUUUGAUUGUUGAAGAAAUUGUACACAGUAGUGUUGACAGAUGCCUCUGGUCAGGGCAAUAAGUAGCUAAUGCACCAUACCUGUCCAAUUGUCCAAUCAAAAACUACUAUUCCCAUUAUAAAUCCUCCAUAUCAUAUUAUGCUCUGUUUUUGCUCUAGCUUGUGUAAGAGUCUUCCAAAUAUGGGAAUUACCAGGUGCCUAUACUUAGGAAACAGGAUGAGCCCUGAUGCAAUACUGAUGCAAAUAAUCAUGUCCUCUAAACCUCCACCACUUCUUGAUAUUGAGUAGAUCACAAACAUUUAUCAUACUUCUCAUUUCUAGUCCCCCACCCCCCUCUCGUUACAUCUCGGAUUUUUUGCGUCAUUCGUAUCGUAAGUAAACUAACGUAAGCUCAAAGAGGUCGUGAAAUCCCUGUAAGGUCAAGGAAGGUCUGGAACAAAUGUUAAGUAUAUGCCAUAAAUGUUGGAGGUUAAUCGAAUCGAAGGAACCAAGUUUCGACAAAGUUUGAUAUGUCGGGGAGAUGUUCUGCGUCACAGAACCUGAUAUGCCACCCAUUCAGGGGAGUAUAUGGAGGGCAUCUGAUGCCAAAUUUUUGCCUAGAAAAUGCGAAGGGAAGUGAGGCCGCAUUUGGUGAAACGCAUCGCAUAUCCCGGCACAUUUUCGAGGCGGUGGCCGACUUUUUUUGUUUUAAGUUCAUUGGAGGGUUCAUUUUAAGUCAUUUUCACCCCAAAUUUCCUCCAUAUACUCUCCUAAACUUUUCCUACUAGAUUUUAAAGGUUCAAGGGUGAAACCUAACAUUUUCAUCCUAGAUCAAUAUAAAAGAUUAGCUAAGACAAGGAGAAGUACUUCUAUGAGAUUGUUGUGAUGUUAAGGAUCAUUGUAAUCUAACAAGAGCUUGGAAUUCAUGUUGUGGCUGCUGUAUAAGAUUGAAUUAUUUUGUGGGAUGCUUGAGAGUUCUUAAGGAUGCAAGGAGAUUGAGAUUGAAUUGUUUUAUGGGAUGCUUGAGAGAUGGUAAGGAUGCAACGAGAUUGAGUCUUUCAAAACAGACUGCUGCCUUACAAACAGUGAUGCACAUGUGGCUGGCGGCUCGGAAGAUGGCUAUAUUUACUUCUGGGAUCUGGUUGAUGCGUCAGUUGUGUCCAGCUUCCGAGCGCGUGAUUUAGUGGUAACUAGCGUAAGUUAUCACCCGAAAGGAAGCUGCAUGAUAACUUCUUCUGUAGAUAGCACAGUCCGAGUUUGGAAAGCAUGAGAUAGGGAAUCAAAAGGCAUCUGAUCUUUUCCUGAUAAGCAUACAUGAAGGUUGUGUGCUCGAAUCAAACCAACAGUCUACGAGAGAAUACCACUCACUUAGUCGAGCAUGAGAAUCAUGGCAAAGCUAAUACCUCAAUGUUUUGUGGAUGUUUACCAAUGUUGAAGUAGUUUAAUGUUGUUUUGAUGUUUGCGAAGGUUGAAGUAGCUUAAUUAAUGUCUCUUGUGAAUGUUUGAUUGACGUUUUUAUUCAACUUUGAAGUAGUUUCGAAUUGAA